rnacentral:rRNA from 1 species
UACGUAGGCAGCGAGCGUUGUUCGGAGUUACUGGGCGUAAAGCGUGCGUAGGCGGUGGUCCAAGUCUGGUGUGAAAUCUCCCGGCUCAACUGGGAGGUGCGCCGGAAACUGGGCCGCUGGAGUACGGGAGAGGCAAGCGGAAUUCCAGGUGUAGCGGUGAAAUGCGUAGAUAUCUGGAGGAACACCCGUGGUGCAGACGGCUUGCUGGACCGUGACUGACGCUGAGGCACGAAAGCGUGGGUAGCAAACAGG